GGAUCAUUAUAUAGAAGUAACAAAUUUCACUGAAAUUUAAAAAUGUGCUUCUCAUAAGAUAAACUAAUUUUAUGAAAGAUGCUGUCCCUAAACUUAAUACCAAGAGUAUGUGUGUAUGUAUGUGUGUGUGUUUCAGGAACUUAGAAAUCACCUGUGUGUAUUACAAACUUGACCUUAGUUAUAUUUGCUUCACAUUAUGUACAAGUUAGUUUCAUUUCUGGUCAGGUGAAGUGUUUUUUACAUGCCCAAAAAUAAAAUACCACUAUUUCUAUUAAAAGUAACUGCUCUUCCUGGUAUCAUGAUGGAAUGGGCAGAGGGUUAAAACAUUAGGCACGAGACUUGGACCUUAAUGUCACCACUGACCCUGACUACUGUAAAAGUAGAGAUUUUGAACCCUAGACUUCAAUCCCCAGAAGUCCUUAGUAUUUCCCAGAAUUCCCUAUAAUCUUUCUUGUCUGAUCACGUGAUAGGUAUUUAACUAGCGGUAACGCCUCCCACACGCUCUUCCUUUGCAAUGAGGCAGCAAGUAUAGUGGUAAGCUAAGUGUGGGGAUUUUUAAAUGGGCUAAUCAGCCAUGGGCAUGUGGGAGGCAUUAUUGCCAGUUAAAUACCAAUCACAUGAUCUCGCCAACAUGGAGAUAGGAGAGAUUAUAGGGAAUUCUGGGAAAUACCAAGGACUUAUGGGGAUUGAAGUCUAGGGUUCAAAAUCUAUUUUUACACUAUUUGUGUGACUUUAAGGAAAUCUCUACUAUCUGGACCAUGAUUUCAUCAUCAAAGAUGUUCAAUAUUGUCGAAGCCAAAUAAAUUCUGCUGCAGUACCUUGCCUUUACUUUGUGUGUGUCUCCCUGCCUCAAAAGUGAUUCUUGUAAACAAUGUAUAGUUGGAUUCUGGUUUUUAAUCCCCUCUGCUAUUUGCUUCUGUUUUAUGGGUCAUGCCCUGCCUUAAGUUACUUCAGGCCUCACAAUUGCUUUAGGUGCUUUGGGAAUCCAUCUUCAAGAGGGAAGGUUUAUUGAAGAUUAAGGAUUAAAGAAAAUACAGGAUAAGAGACCGUGUCCAGGCCAUAGAGAGGCCUAGACACAACCUCACCUACAUUAUGAAAAAAAGCCACACCUGCCCCAAAGCGGAAGUCCAAGAGCCCGAGAGAGCCCUCAAAAGCCUUUGAAUCAGCUUAAAUACCUCUAGAUCACGGCCCAGGUGAGAUUACAAGGCAUUCUGGGGAAGUGGAGCAAAGGCUCAUGGGGA
rnacentral:lncRNA from 1 species